ACCUUUCUCUUGGCCUUUUGGUUAAGAUCAAGUGUAGUAUCUGUUCUAAUCAGUUUAAUAUCUGAUACAUAGCCCAUCAUGUCACAUGAUAUUAAAUUAAUUUAUUGUGGGGAAUGGCCAACUGCAGCAGCUUGUGGCUGGUGUCCAUCGCGUGUUGUCCAUGCAUUGCGAAAGAAAAAGGAAAAUGACAGGUUUU